CCCAUCCAUUCCAGCCUCUGGUAACCAUUCCUGUAUUCUCUACUUCUGUAAGAUCAGCUUCUUUACAUUGUACAUACGAGUGAGGUCAAGUAGUAUUUGUUUUUCUGUGGCUGGCUUAAUUCAUUUAACAUACUGUUCUCAAGGUUCCUCCCCAUUGUUGUAAAUGACAGGAUUUCAUUCUUUUAGAUGGUUCGAUACUCUUCCAUUGUGUGUAUAGGCCACCUUUUCCUUAUCCACUAAUCUGUCAUUCUUCAGAGACAGACACUAUUGUGACUGUACAUGAGCAUAUACCCUAUUUUAAAAUGCAAUAGCUGAGUGAUACAGCAGGAGUGGAAGCCCGUUUAUUGCAGGACAGGAGCAGUAUUUAUACAUUCCACACAGCUUAUCUAAUUAGCAUAAACUAGAUACAUCAGUCAACCAAUCAGGAAUCUCCACACUUAAUGGCUCGCUUUUGUUACUUCUCAAACCACUCCCUCUGGCAUUUUGCCAGGCACCAUCCAGACUUGUUUACAAACUCUAACAUUCCCCUGGCAAAAUGCCAGGUGUUAUUUUGACUUGUUUACAGACUCUAACAUUUCCCCCUUUUGUUUAAUUUAAAUAACGACCAUAGUGGUUUUUACAGAAACACCAUAAAUAACCUGCUACAAACAGAAAGGGAGGAUACAAAAUGCCACAAUACCAAGCCAAUUGAUGGCUCCAUGCAAGAAGCCCUUGGAAAAAUUAUACCAGCAAUGACACCGUUUGCAAAGAUACCUAGUUACAAUUUGUUGUAGAUUACAGUUUGUUGUCUCAGUCCAGGUAAAACAGUGUCUCAAUAGAUUAAUUCACAGUCCAGGUAAAUCACAGUCCAGGUAAGUUCUGCAGGCAGCUAGCUUGAAUCACAGUCCAGGUAAGUUCUGCAGGCAGCUAGCUUAAAUCACAGUCCAGGUAAGUUCUGCAGGCAGCUAGCUUAAUCCGAAGUCUCGUCCGGUUCUCAGCUGAAAUCUCAGUCCGGUUCUCAGCAACACUGGAAAUUCUUC
rnacentral:lncRNA from 1 species